GACGAACGCUGGCGGCGUGCUUAACACAUGCAAGUCGAACGGUGAUCUUGGGAGCUUGCUCCUGGGUGAUCAGUGGCGAACGGGUGAGUAACACGUGAGUAACCUGCCCCUGACUCUGGAAUAACCUCGGGAAACCGAAGCUAAUACCGGAUAUGACACAGAGCCGCAUGGUUUCUGUGUGGAAAGUUUUUUCGGUUGGGGAUGGACUCGCGGCCUAUCAGCUUGUUGGUGAGGUAAUGGCUCACCAAGGCGACGACGGGUAGCCGGCCUGAGAGGGCGACCGGCCACACUGGGACUGAGACACUGCCCAGACUCCUACGGGAGGCAGCAGUGGGGAAUAUUGCACAAUGGGCGAAAGCCUGAUGCAGCGACGCCGCGUGAGGGAUGAAGGCCUUCGGGUUGUAAACCUCUUUCAGUAGGGAAGAAGCGCAAGUGACGGUACCUACAGAAGAAGCACCGGCUAACUACGUGCCAGCCGCCGCAGUAACAC
rnacentral:rRNA from 1 species